CGUGGGUAACCUGCCUUAUAGUGGGGGAUAGCCUUUCGAAAGGAAGAUUAAUACCGCAUAAGAUUGUAGUAUCGCAUGAUAUAGCAAUUAAAGGAGCAAUCCGCUAUAAGAUGGACCCGCGUCGCAUUAGCUAGUUGGUGAGGUAAUGGCUCACCAAGGCGACGAUGCGUAGCCGACCUGAGAGGGUGAUCGGCCACAUUGGGACUGAGACACGGCCCAGACUCCUACGGGAGGCAGCAUGG
rnacentral:rRNA from 1 species